AUGGCGGCUGAAAAGAUGAAGGGCGAAAGGAUGCUGGUCAGGACUAUAAAGAAGGACAAUGCUACCUCGGUUACGGUUAAUCAGUUUCCCGGCGCUCUGACCGGAUCUCCCGGCCGAUACGUGGAGGUGACGUGCAUUAUACCGGACAGUACCAGCGUUUACAUGUACUGGUACAGACAAAACCCGGGACAAGGGCCACACGACCUGUUCUACUCUAUAGCAGCUGGGAUCGUGCAACCAACGUCGCCGGUGGAUGGUUUUACAGCAGAAAGGCCAACGGGCAACGAGUUCUCCCUAAAGUCCUCCGUCCUGGAGGCGAAUGCAUCGGCUAUUUCCUCAUCGACCAACGACCUGAGCAGCACGCCGACAGCUUCGCAGGCGUGA